UGGGGAAUAUUGCGCAAUGGGCGAAAGCCUGACGCAGCAACGCCGCGUGAGUGAUGAAGGCCUUCGGGUCGUAAAGCUCUGUCGGAGGGAACGAAUGCUCCUGAAGUUAACAGCCUCAGGAGGUGACGGUACCCUCAAAGGAAGCACCGGCUAACUCUGUGCCAGCAGCCGCGGUAAUACGUAGGGUGCAAGCGUUAAUCGGAAUUACUGGGCGUAAAGCGUGCGCAGGCGGUUGUGUAAGUCAGAUGUGAAAUCCCCGGGCUCAACCUGGGAAUUGCAUUUGAGACUGCACGGCUAGAGUGUGUCAGAGGGGGGUAGAAUUCCACGUGUAGCAGUGAAAUGCGUAGAUAUGUGGAGGAAUACCGAUGGCGAAGGCAGCCCCCUGGGAUAACACUGACGCUCAUGCACGAAAGCGUGGGGAGCAAACAGGAUUAGAUACCCCGGUAGUCCCUGAGCGGGCUGGCAAGGCGCAU
rnacentral:rRNA from 1 species